UACGAAGGGGCUAGCGUUGCUCGGAAUCACUGGGCGUAAAGCGCACGUAGGCGGAUUGCUAAGUCAGGGGUGAAAUCCUGGAGCUCAACUCCAGAACUGCCUUUGAUACUGGCGACCUUGAGUCCGGGAGAGGUGAGUGGAACUGCGAGUGUAGAGGUGAAAUUCGUAGAUAUUCGCAAGAACACCAGUGGCGAAGGCGGACUCACUGGCCCGGUACUGG
rnacentral:rRNA from 1 species